AACGAACGCUGGCGGCAUGCCUAACACAUGCAAGUCGAACGAGACCUUCGGGUCUAGGGGCGCACGGGUGCGUAACGCGUGGGAACCUGCCCUUAGGUUCGGAAUAACUCCCCGAAAGGGGUGCUAAUACCGGUUAAUGUCUUCGGAGCAAAGAUUUAUCGCCUUUGGGUGGGCCCGCGUUGGAUUAGCUAGUUGGUAGGGUAAAAGCCUACCAAGGCGACGAUCCAUAGCUGGUCUGAGAGGAUGAUCAGCCACACUGGGACUGAGACACGGCCCAGACUCCUACGGGAGGCAGCAGUGGGGAAUAUUGGACAAUGGGCGAAAGCCUGAUACAGCAAUGCCGCGUGAGUGAUGAAGGCCUUAGGGUUGUAAAGCUCUUUUACCCGGGAUGAUAAUGACAGUACCGGGAGAAUAAGCUCCGGCUAACUCCGUG
rnacentral:rRNA from 1 species